ensembl:lncRNA
UUUUCAUUGAAUCUGUUGAGCCAUUUCAAUAGAUUACACAGUCCCAGCCCUGAUUUCUGGAUGCUCUGUGGUAUUGACCAAUGCACUUAGGAAUAUAGUGUACAAUAUCUUCUAUAAUCAGGUAAAGAGAAGACACUUUCAACACCUGCUUGUAGGCACCCGACCAGGUGAACAAGACAUCGGAGGAAAGCCAAGUACCACUGCAACAAGACAACAUUCAAUCCAUUCAGCUUCUAGCUAACUCCAGCAUCACUCAUCAGCAACACCAUACAUCUGACUCAUGUGAAAGGCAAAGGGGCACUGACUAACAUGGAGCUGUCACAGUGCAACAAGUAGCCUAAGUUACUCGGAUUGGACAACACAUGCCUCUGCUUUUGUGAUAAAUGCCACAGCCAAGCAUCGUCUCUCACAGGCACGAAUGACAUUGUGGCUGGAGUACAGCAGUAUCAAUCUUCACUAUUGGACAACCUCAGGAAGCAGGUGGAGGAAUUGCUAAAGAAGCAUUCAAGAAGCACGUUAGGUCAACUUGAAAAAGGAUAUUUGACAAUUUCACUGACCCUUUCUCUGGUGUUGCAAAAACAUUUGGACAAGACAGUGUUAUUAAGAAGCAGUUUAGCUGUUUGGACAUGCAGUCACCCUUAAAUGAGGAUGCAUACACUACAAGGACAUUGAAGAAGCAUGUCAGACAAGGUGAUGAAAUAGAAAAAGCAAAGACAGACGUGCUUCGCAACAGCUUGAAAACAACAUAUGGGAUCAAUUGAAGGAGUAAAUUAGUUGAAUUCCCAGCUUUUGAUAUUAUACAACACACUCAAAUGCAAGACAUUAUGCAUGUAAUUCUGGAAGGCAUAGCCCCAUUGGAAAUCAAAUGUGUUUUGAAUCAUCUUGUUUAGUCAGGACAGAUUAAUCUGCUAUUCUUGAUUAUUCUGCUAUUCUUGGUUUCCCUUAUUCCCCUCUAGAUAUUAGAGCUUGGCCAUCCCCUAUUUCUGUUAGUACAUUAAUAUCAAGUGAAGGUAAACUGGGCAAAUGCUUGUUAUUCUAAGGAUAUUACCAUUUGUUUUGGAGAGUUUGGAAGUCAAUGGAUAUAUACAAGUGAUAAUUGAGCUAAUAGAGAUUGUAGAGAGCGUAUUUUCACCUGUUCUUUCCAUUGUGACUGUGUCUAGGUUGACGUUACUCAUUGAAAAUAAUUUGAAGCAUUGGAAGGAGCUUUUUCAGACCGGAAUGUUACACUUAAACUGCAUUAUAUGAUACAUUUGCAUCACAAAUA